AGAGUUCCCCCUGGCAGCAGAGACACCAUGAUCAUGAAGGUGGUUUUCCCGGGGCGAGGCUCAUCCAUCGCACUCCAGAUGUGCUGACCCCUGCGAUUUCCCCAGAUGUAAGAAACUCGACUGUGUAAUUUGUGGUAGUGGGGGACCGUGUUCACACUCUCCCCUG